rnacentral:rRNA from 1 species
GUGGGGAAUAUUGGGCAAUGGGCGAAAGCCUGACCCAGCAACGCCGCGUGAGGGAAGAAGGUUUUCGGAUUGUAAACCUCUGUCCUUGGGGACGAAGAAAGUGACGGUACCCAGGGAGGAAGCCCCGGCUAACUACGUGCCAGCAGCCGCGGUAAUACGUAGGGGGCGAGCGUUGUUCGGAAUGACUGGGCGUAAAGGGCGCGUAGGCGGCCGAUUAAGUCUGGAGUGAAAGUCCUGUUUUUAAGGCGGGAAUUGCUUUGGAGACUGGUUGGCUUGAGUGCGGAAGAGGUAAGUGGAAUUCCCAGUGUAGCGGUGAAAUGCGUAGAGAUUGGGAGGAACACCAGUGGCGAAGGCGACUUACUGGGCCGUAACUGACGCUGAAGCGCGAAAGCGUGGGGAGCGAACAGGAUUAGAAACCCGAGUAGUCC